CCAGACUCCUACGGGAGGCAGCAGUGGGGAAUAUUGCACAAUGGGGGAAACCCUGAUGCAGCAACGCCGCGUGAGUGAAGAAGUAUUUCGGUAUGUAAAGCUCUAUCAGCAGGGAAGAAAAUGACAGUACCUGACUAAGAAGCCCCGGCUAACUACGUGCCAGCAGCCGCGGUAAUACGUAGGGGGCAAGCGUUAUCCGGAUUUACUGGGUGUAAAGGGAGCGUAGACGGCUGCGCAAGUCAGAAGUGAAAGCCCGGGGCUCAACCGCGGGACUGCUUUUGAAACUGUGUAGCUAGAGUGCAGGAGAGGUAAGUGGAAUUCCUAGUGUAGCGGUGAAAUACGUAGAUAUUAGGAGGAACACCGGCGGCGAAGGCGGCCUGCUGGACCGUGACUGACGUUGAGGCUCGAGAGCGUGGGGAGCAAACAGGAUUAGAUACCCGUGUAU
rnacentral:rRNA from 1 species